rnacentral:rRNA from 1 species
GAUGAACGCUGGCGGCGUGCCUAAUACAUGCAAGUCGAGCGAACGGACGAGAAGCUUGCUCCUCUGACGUUAGCGGCGGACGGGUGAGUAACACGUGGAUAACCUACCUAUAAGACUGGGAUAACUUCGGGAAACCGGAGCUAAUACCGGAUAAUAUUUUGAACCGCAUGGUUCAAAAGUGAAAGACGGUCUUGCUGUCACUUAUAGAUGGAUCCGCGCCGCAUUAGCUAGUUGGUAAGGUAACGGCUUACCAAGGCAACGAUGCGUAGCCGACCUGAGAGGGUGAUCGGCCACACUGGAACUGAGACACGGUCCAGACUCCUACGGGAGGCAGCAGUAGGGAAUCUUCCGCAAUGGGCGAAAGCCUGACGGAGCAACGCCGCGUGAGUGAUGAAGGUCGUCGGAUCGUAAAACUCUGUUAUUAGGGAAGAACAAAUGUGUAAGUAACUAUGCACGUCUUGACGGUACCUAAUCAGAAAGCCACGGCUAACUACGUG